UGGACGCGGCAGCUGCCUCGCCUCUACAACCCGGGCGCCGACGUGACGGUGGACGAGCAGCUGGUGCCCUUUCGAGGUCGCUGCGCCUUCCGCCAGUACAUGCCCAGCAAGCCCGCCCGGUACGGACUCAAGUCGUGGGUGGCCUGCGACGCCGGCUCCAGCUACGCGU